UACGGAGGGUGCGAGCGUUGUCCGGAAUCACUGGGCGUAAAGGGCGCGUAGGCGGCCUGAUAAGUAGGGGGUGAAAUCCUGCGGCUUAACCGCAGGGCUGCCUUCUAAACUGUCAGGCUAGAGCACAGUAGAGGCAGGUGGAAUUCCCGGUGUAGCGGUGGAAUGCGUAGAGAUCGGGAAGAACACCCGUGGCGAAGGCGGCCCCCUGGGCCGUACCUGACGCUGAGGCGCGAAGGCUAGGGGAGCGAACGGG
rnacentral:rRNA from 1 species